AUGCACGCUGACAGAAUGCUUAACACCUGCCAGUCAACUUGAAUUUGGGUUUUUAACUUAGGUUUGGGUGGCGGACGGGUGAGUAACGCGUAAAGAACUUGCCUCACAGCUAGGGACAACAUUUGGAAACGAAUGCUAAUACCUAAUAUUAUGAUAAUAGGGCAUCCUAUAAUUAUGAAAGCUAUAAGCGCUGUGAGAGAGCUUUGCGUCCCAUUAGCUAGUUGGAGAGGUAACGGCUCACCAAGGCGAUGAUGGGUAGCCGGCCUGAGAGGGUGAUCGGCCACAAGGGGACUGAGACACGGCCCUUACUCCUACGGGAGGCAGCAGUGGGGAAUAUUGGACAAUGGACCGAGAGUCUGAUCCAGCAAUUCUGUGUGCACGAUGAAGUUUUUCGGAAUGUAAAGUGCUUUCAGUUGGGAAGAAACAAAUGACGGUACCAACAGAAGAAGUGACGGCUAAAUACGUG
rnacentral:rRNA from 1 species